rnacentral:rRNA from 1 species
AUUGAACGCUGGCGGCAGGCCUAACACAUGCAAGUCGAGCGAGUGGCGGACGGGUGAGUAAUGCUUGGGGAUCUGCCUGAUAGAGGGGGAUAACUACUGGAAACGGUGGCUAAUACCGCAUACCAUCGGAUGAACCCAAGUGGGAUUAGGUAGUUGGUGGGGUAAAGGCUCACCAAGCCGACGAUCUCUAGCUGGUCUGAGAGGAUGACCAGCCACACGGGGACUGAGACACGGCCCAGACUCCUACGGGAGGCAGCAGUGGGGAAUAUUGCGCAAUGGGGGCAACCCUGAUGCAGCCAUGCCGCGUGUAUGAAGAAGGCCUUAGGGUUGUAAAGUUCUUUCGGCAGGGAGGCGUUAACCGCAGAAGAAGCACCGGCUAACUCCGUGCCAGCAGCCGCGGUAAUUC